GACGAACGCUGGCGGCGUGCUUAACACAUGCAAGUCGAACGGAAAGGCCUCUUUCGGGGGGUACUCGAGUGGCGAACGGGUGAGUAACACGUGAGUAACCUGCCCUUGACUUUGGGAUAACUUCAGGAAACUGGGGCUAAUACCGGAUAGGAGCUCCUGCUGCAUGGUGGGGGUUGGAAAGUUUCGGCGGUUGGGGAUGGACUCGCGGCUUAUCAGCUUGUUGGUGGGGUAGUGGCUUACCAAGGCUUUGACGGGUAGCCGGCCUGAGAGGGUGACCGGCCACAUUGGGACUGAGAUACGGCCCAGACUCCUACGGGAGGCAGCAGUGGGGAAUAUUGCACAAUGGGUGGAAGCCUGAUGCAGCAACGCCGUGUGCGGGAUGACGGCCUUCGGGUUGUAAACCGCUUUCGCUCAUGACGAAGCUUUGUGUGACGGUAGUGGGGAAAGAAGCACCGGCGAACUACGU
rnacentral:rRNA from 1 species